GUGGAUAACCUGCCGUAUACAGGGGGAUAACACUUAGAAAUAGGUGCUAAUACCGCAUAAGCGCACGGUUCCGCAUGGAACAGUGUGAAAAACUCCGGUGGUAUACGAUGGAUCCGCGUCUGAUUAGCCAGUUGGCGGGGUAACGGCCCACCAAAGCGACGAUCAGUAGCCGGCCUGAGAGGGUGAACGGCCACAUUGGGACUGAGACACGGCCCAAACUCCUACGGGAGGCAGCAGUGGGGAAUAUUGCACAAUGGGGGAAACCCUGAUGCAGCGACGCCGCGUGAGUGAAGAAGUAUUUCGGUACGUAAAGCUCUAUCAGCAGGGAAGAAAAAAAGUCCUUUGGACUUUGGACGGUACCUGACCAAGAAGCCCCGGCUAACUACGUGCCAGCAGCCGCGGUAAUACGUAGGGGGCAAGCGUUAUCCGGAUUUACUGGGUGUAAAGGGAGCGUAGACGGCAGCGCAAGUCUGGAGUGAAAUGCCGGGGCCCAACCCCGGAACUGCUUUGGAAACUGUGCAGCUCGAGUGCAGGAGAGGUAAGCGGAAUUCCUAGUGUAGCGGUGAAAUGCGUAGAUAUUAGGAGGAACACCAGUGGCGAAGGCGGCUUACUGGACUGUAACUGACGUUGAGGCUCGAAAGCGUGGGGAGCAAACAGGAUUAGAUACCCUGGUAGUCCACGCCGUAAACGAUGAUUACUAGGUGUCGGGGGGCCAAGGCCCUCCGGUGCCGGCGCAAACGCAUUAAGUAAUCCACCUGGGGAGUACGUUCGCAAGAAUGAAACUCAAAGGAAUUGACGGGGA
rnacentral:rRNA from 1 species